rnacentral:rRNA from 1 species
UACGGAGGGUGCGAGCGUUGUCCGGAAUCACUGGGCGUAAAGGGCGCGUAGGCGGCCUGAUAAGUAGGGGGGUGAAAUCCUGCGGCUUAACCGCAGGGCUGCCUUCUAAACUGUCAGGCUCGAGCACAGUAGAGGCAGGUGGAAUUCCCGGUGUAGCGGUGGAAUGCGUAGAGAUCGGGAAGAACAUCAGUGGCGAAGGCGGCCUGCUGGGCUGUUGCUGACGCUGAGGCGCGACAGCGUGGGGAGCAAACGAGGA